rnacentral:rRNA from 1 species
AUUGAACGCUGGCGGCAGGCCUAACACAUGCAAGUCGAGCGGAUGAAGGGAGCUUGCUCCUGGAUUCAGCGGCGGACGGGUGAGUAAUGCCUAGGAAUCUGCCUGGUAGUGGGGGAUAACGUCCUGAAACGGGCGCUAAUACCGCAUACGUCCUGAGAGAGAAAGUGGGGGAUCUUCGGACCUCACGCUAUCAGAUGAGCCUAGGUCGGAUUAGCUAGUUGGUGGGGUAAAGGCCUACCAAGGCGACGAUCCGUAACUGGUCUGAGAGGAUGAUCAGUCACACUGGAACUGAGACACGGUCCAGACUCCUACGGGAGGCAGCAGUGGGGAAUAUUGGACAAUGGGCGAAAGCCUGAUCCAGCCAUGCCGCGUGUGUGAAGAAGGUCUUCGGAUUGUAAAGCACUUUAAGUUGGGAGGAAGGGCAGUAAGUUAAUACCUUGCUGUUUUGACGUUACCAACAGAGUAAGCACCGGCUAACUUCGUG